rnacentral:rRNA from 1 species
UACGUAGGUGACAAGCGUUGUCCGGAUUUACUGGGCGUAAAGAGCGCGCAGGCGGUCGUUUCAAGUCGAGUGUGAAAGCCCCCGGCUCAACUGGGGAGGGUCACUCGAUACUGUUCGACUCGAAGGCAGGAGAGGGAAGUGGAAUUCCCGGUGUAGUGGUGAAAUGCGUAGAUAUCGGGAGGAACACCAGUGGCGAAGGCGACUUCCUGGCCUGUUCUUGACGCUGAGGCGCGAAAGCUAGGGGAGCAAACGGGG